UGCGUCGCACGUAGUCCCUCUUCCACUGCCCCGGGGCUCUUUUCUGUGCAUCUACGGCCACUCUGCAGCGGCGCGCAAAGAUGUCUCUCGCACCCAACACAGGCUCGGUCGAGCUGAAGGCCUACAGCGCGCAUGCGUCCCGCCUGCUUGCAAGAGGUGAGCGGAUUGACAAGCGCGCCUUCGACGAAUGCCGCCUACCCGCCAUUGUACGCGAGGAGCGCGUUGGCGGCGCUGCCGUGGCUGGUGGGAUGGACGGAAGCCUGCAAAGCCCCGCAAGCAGCAACAUGGCCAGCGCCUACACCGUGUCCGAUGGCAAAAGCCUUGCCGCGGUCAUGUACACGGACGCGUACGGAACGUGCAUUCAGUGCACUGUGCAGGGGCUGCUGGGCCCUCCUCGCCCCGAGCACCCGGCUGCCGGCCGACUCAAUGUGCAUGUUGAGGCACCGUUUGUCGAGCACUUGAGUGGCGGUGGAACAAGCACCAACUACCGCUCCUUUCAGUACAUGAUUGCGAGCGGCAACGCCGAUCUGCCGCUACGGCAGCUGGAGGGCCACAUCGGCACCGUGCUGGACGGCUGCUUUGAUUUGAGCCAGCUGAGCAUCUACGAGGGCGAGGCGUGCUGGGCGCUGAACGUGAGCGUCCUUCUCUUGAGCUUUGACGGCGGGCUGCGCGCCGGCAGUCUCCACGCAGCCCUCGCCGCGCUCCAUAAACUGCACCUGCCGCGGACGCGACUGCCCAAUGGCGACGUUAUCGAGGGACGCCAGGUGCAGCUUUCCUGCAUGCCGGUGGCGUGCACCUUCGGGUUCUUGGCGGGCGCUCAAGUGCGGCUCGUGGCAGACACCACGGCCAUCGAGGAGCAUAUUGCGGACGGCCUUAUUACAGUGGUCGUGGACGAGGCGGAACGGAUUGUUAGCGUGCACCACACCGGCCGUUGCCCGUUGCUUGCGCAGGCGCUGACGGCCGCUGCUCAGCAGUGGACAGCGGCCUCUGGCGCAAUGCGGAAGGCUCUGUACGGAUAGUACCGCUGAAACUCCGGUGUGACGGCUGCUUCUUCCCUCUCGCUGGUAGACGCGUGCGGGCACAUGCGUGCUCAUAUAGCCGAGGCGGUGUGCUCCGUGGAACGUCGAUGCCGCGCGCACGCUAAGGGAGGGGACGUGGCUGCCCGCGGCAGACGCGUCUGUCUGGUUGCUAGUGCUUCGGCAUGUCGCCGCGGCCUUUUUUUUAGGUGCCCGCGUCUUCUUGUACGCCGUGUAACUCUCGCGUAACGCUCUUAAAGAACAUGACGAAAUCCGACGCGGAACAGAGCGCGCAUUCACGCGCGAUUGACAACCCUUCAUCUCCCUUCGCCACAUACGGGCGAAAAGGCGUCAGGGUGGUACGUCUCUCAUUCUGUGCAGAGGGGUGGGGGCGGGAAAAGCGAGGGUGGAUAGGCCAAUCAGUAGAGAGGCGAGAGGGAAUCAUGGUGGCAGAUAGUACGGUCAGCCGUGGCCACGCGCCCGUGUGCCUCUCUCCUCUCCUCUGUCUUUACAGGUCUUCGCCUGCCUCGUUUGGCUCAGCGGCGUCAGACGCCGACAGCGCGCAGACAGAUGCCCUUUUCUUCAUGCGGAGCGCACGCCUACCCUUGUGCGCUGCCACCCCCCCUUGCGUUCUUUGCUUCUUCGCCCUCCGCUGUUGGUGUGGCACGCCUUUCUCCUCUCCACUGCCUUUUCGUGUUCCACCCGCCCCCCUCCCCCUCCAG
rnacentral:misc_RNA from 1 species